rnacentral:rRNA from 1 species
CCUACGGGCGGCAGCAGUCGAGAAUCAUUCACAAUGGGGGAAACCCUGAUGGUGCGACGCCGCGUGGGGGAAUGAAGGUCUUCGGAUUGUAAACCCCUGUCAUGUGGGAGCAAAUUAAAAAGAUAGUACCACAAGAGGAAGAGACUGCUAACUCUGUGCCAGCAGCCGCGGUAAUACAGAGGUCUCAAGCGUUGUUCGGAAUCACUGGGCGUAAGGCGUGCGUAGGCUGUUUCGUAAGUCGUGUGUGAAAGGCGCGGGCUCAACCCGCGGACGGCACAUGAUACUGCGAGACUAGAGUAAUGGAGGGGGAACCGGAAUUCUCGGUGUAGCAGUGAAAUGCGUAGAUAUCGAGAGGAACACUCGUGGCGAAGGCGGGUGCCUGGACAUUAACUGACGCUGAGGCACGAAGGCCAGGGGAGCGAAAGGGAUUAGAUACCCGAGUAGUC